rnacentral:rRNA from 1 species
UACGGAAGGCAGCAGUGGGGAAUAUUGCACAAUGGGCGCAAGCCUGAUGCAGCCAUGCCGCGUGUAUGAAGAAGGCCUUCGGGUUGUAAAGUACUUUCAGUCGUGAGGAAGGUGUUAAGGUUAAUAACCUUAGCAAUUGACGUUAGCGACAGAAGAAGCACCGGCUAACUCCGUGCCAGCAGCCGCGGUAAUACGGAGGGUGCGAGCGUUAAUCGGAAUUACUGGGCUAAAGGGCACGCAGGCGGUUAAUUAAGUUGGAUGUGAAUCCCCGGGCUUAACCUGGGAAUGGCAUUCAAGACUGGUUAGCUAGAGUCUUGUAGAGGGGGUUAGAAUUCCAUGUGUAGCGGUGAAAUGCGUAGAGAUGUGGAGGAAUACCGGGUGGCGAAGGCGGCCCCUGGGACAAAGACUGACGCUCAUGUGCGAAAGCGUGGGGAGCAAACAGGAUUAGAUACC